GCUCAAAUUUGAAAUCUGGUACCUUCGGUGCCCGAGUUGUAAUUUGGAGAGGGCAACUUUGGGGCCGUUCCUUGUCUAUGUUCCUUGGAACAGGACGUCAUAGAGGGUGAGAAUCCCGUGUGGCGAGGAGUGCGGUUCUUUGUAAAGUGCCUUCGAAGAGUCGAGUUGUUUGGGAAUGCAGCUCUAAGUGGGUGGUAAAUUCCAUCUAAAGCUAAAUAUUGGCGAGAGACCGAUAGCGAACAAGUACAGUGAUGGAAAGAUGAAAAGAACUUUGAAAAGAGAGUGAAAAAGUACGUGAAAUUGUUGAAAGGGAAGGGCAUUUGAUCAGACAUGGUGUUUUGUGCCCUCUGCUCCUUGUGGGUAGGGGAAUCUCGCAUUUCACUGGGCCAGCAUCAGUUUUGGUGGCAGGAUAAAUCCAUAGGAAUGUAGCUUGCCUCGGUAAGUAUUAUAGCCUGUGGGAAUACUGCCAGCUGGGACUGAGGACUGCGACGUAAGUCAAGGAUGCUGGCAUAAUGGUUAUAUGCCGCCCGU
rnacentral:rRNA from 1 species